rnacentral:rRNA from 1 species
GACGAACGCUGGCGGCGUGCUUAACACAUGCAAGUCGAACGGAAAGGCCCUGCUUUUGUGGGGUGCUCGAGUGGCGAACGGGUGAGUAACACGUGAGUAACCUGCCCUUGACUUUGGGAUAACUUCAGGAAACUGGGGCUAAUACCGGAUAGGAGCUCCUGCUGCAUGGUGGGGGUUGGAAAGUUUCGGCGGUUGGGGAUGGACUCGCGGCUUAUCAGCUUGUUGGUGGGGUAGUGGCUUACCAAGGCUUUGACGGGUAGCCGGCCUGAGAGGGUGACCGGCCACAUUGGGACUGAGAUACGGCCCAGACUCCUACGGGGGGCAGCAGUGGGGAAUAUUGCACAAUGGGCGGGAGCCUGAUGCAGCAACGCCGCGUGCGGGAUGACGGCCUUCGGGUUGUAAACCGCUUUCGCCUGUGACGAAGCGUGAGUGACGGUAAUGGGUAAAGAAGCACCGGCUAACUACGUG